rnacentral:rRNA from 1 species
CCUACGGGUGGCAGCAGUGGGGAAUUGUUCGCAAUGGGCGCAAGCCUGACGACGCAACGCCGCGUGGAGGAUGAAGGUCUUCGGAUUGUAAACUCCUGUUGCCCGGGACGAAUGGCUCCGACCUAACACGUCGGAGUGUGACGGUACCGGGUGAGGAAGCCCCGGCUAACUCUGUGCCAGCAGCCGCGGUAAUACAGAGGGGGCAAGCGUUGUUCGGAAUUACUGGGCGUAAAGGGCGCGUAGGCGGCCUGCUAAGUCGAACGUGAAAUCCCCGGGCUCAACCCGGGAACUGCGUCCGAGACUGACAGGCUUGAAUCCGGGAGAGGGAUGUGGAAUUCCAGGUGUAGCGGUGAAAUGCGUAGAUAUCUGGAGGAACACCUGCGGCGAAGGCGGGUUGCUGGGCUGACACUGACGCUGAGGCGCGAAAGCUAGGGGAGCGA